rfam:Otolemur garnettii contig089692, whole genome shotgun sequence.
ACCAGAUGCAGUGGCCCGUGCCGGUAGUCCCAGCUACUUGGGAGGCUGAGACAGGAGGAUCGCUUGAGUCCAGGAGUUGGGGGCUGUAGUGUGCUAUGCCGAUCAGGUGUCUACACUAAUUUCUGCAUCAGUAUGGUGACCACCGAGGAGCAAGGGGCCACCAGAUUGCCUAAGGAUGGGUGAACCGGCCCAGGUCAGAAACAGAACAGGUCAAAGCUCCCGUGCUGAUCAGUACUGGGAUGGUGCCUGUGAAUAGCCACUGCACUCCAGCCUGGGCAACAUAAUGAGACUCCAUCUCUU